AUGGCUCGUACUAAGCAGACUGCUCGUAAGUCCACUGGAGGAAAGGCUCCAAGGAAGCAGUUGGCUGCCCGUAAGUCUGCUCCCACCACUGGAGGAGUGAAGAAGCCUCACCGUUACCGCCCUGGAACUGUUGCUCUUCGUGAGAUCCGCAAGUACCAGAAGAGCACUGAGCUGCUCAUAAGGAAGCUUCCUUUCCAGAGGCUUGUUAGGGAGAUUGCCCAGGACUUCAAGACUGACCUCCGCUUCCAGAGCCAUGCGGUGCUGGCCCUUCAGGAGGCUGCAGAGGCCUACUUGGUGGGUCUCUUCGAGGACACCAACCUGUGCGCCAUCCAUGCCAAGCGCGUGACCAUCAUGCCCAAGGACAUUCAGCUGGCUAGGAGGAUCCGUGGCGAGAGGGCUUAA
rnacentral:rRNA from 1 species